GACGAACGCUGGCGGCGUGCUUAACACAUGCAAGUCGAACGGAAAGGCCCUGCUUUUGUGGGGUGCUCGAGUGGCGAACGGGUGAGUAACACGUGAGUAACCUGCCCUUGACUUUGGGAUAACUUCAGGAAACUGGGGCUAAUACCGGAUAGGAGCUCCUGCUGCAUGGUGGGGGUUGGAAAGUUUCGGCGGUUGGGGAUGGACUCGCGGCUUAUCAGCUUGUUGGUGGGGUAGUGGCUUACCAAGGCUUUGACGGGUAGCCGGCCUGAGAGGGUGACCGGCAACAUGGGGGCUGGGGUACGGCCCAGACUCCUACGGGGGGCAACAGUGGGGAAUAUUGCACAAGGGGCGGAAGCCUGAUGCAGCAACGCCGGGUGGGGGAGGACGGCCUUCGGGUUGUAAACCGCUUUCGCCUGUGACGAAGCGUGAGUGACGGUAAUGGGUAAAGAAGCAGCGGCUAACUACGU
rnacentral:rRNA from 1 species